rnacentral:rRNA from 2 species
UACGUAGGUGGCAAGCGUUAUCCGGAUUUAUUGGGCGUAAAGCGAGCGCAGGCGGUUGCUUAGGUCUGAUGUGAAAGCCUUCGGCUUAACCGAAGAAGUGCAUCGGAAACCGGGCAACUUGAGUGCAGAAGAGGACAGUGGAACUCCAUGUGUAGCGGUGGAAUGCGUAGAUAUAUGGAAGAACACCAGUGGCGAAGGCGGCUGUCUGGUCUGCAACUGACGCUGAGGCUCGAAAGCAUGGGUAGCGAACAGG